rnacentral:sRNA from 1 species
GGACGUGAGAGUGAGCCAGCUGUGACCUCUGUCACCCCACUGAUCACCAGUGUUGAUUCAGCCCAUCUGGCUGGCAGGGUGGGUGUCCCCUUCUUCCCUUACUACUCCAUGCACGUCCCCCUGCAGCUGCUGCUCAGUGAAAGAGGAUGCCCACUCCCAAUACAGGAAGGCCAUUUCCUCGGUCAAGGAUAUGUCAAGGGUAUGUGGGUAGCCGCAUUGCCCUACUAGAACCUCCAAACCAGCUCUCCAGGUGCUAGACCUCAAACGCAUCAAGAGAGACAGUAUUGGCCAACUUGGGCUGCAGCUAGAACUCAGGGUGUAGAAUUU